UACGAAGGGGGCUAGCGUUGCUCGGAAUCACUGGGCGUAAAGCGCACGUAGGCGGAUCGUUAAGUCGGGGGUGAAAUCCCAGGGCUCAACCCUGGAACUGCCUUCGAUACUGGCGAUCUUCGAGUCCGGGAGAGGUGAGUGGAACUCCGAGUGUAGAGGUGAAAUUCGUAGAUAUUCGGAAGAACACCAGUGGCGAAGGCGGCUCACUGGCCCGGUACUGACGCUGAGGUGCGACAGCGUGGGGAGCAAACAGG
rnacentral:rRNA from 1 species